AAGAAGCCAGCCUGGAAUGUAUUCACUCCUAGAAUCCCUGGAUUCCUCUAGGACUUACAUCAAGUGUCAUCUCCUAUUAAAAGACUCCAUGCCCCCUCCAUGAAUUUAAGUCUCACGGUCUUCCUCAUAUUGCCAGCAGCUCUGCCUUUAAUAAAAGGAGGCCAAUUCUUCUUCAGAAUUUGAACUGCACCCAGCACAAGUAUCUUGCCUAUGCCACAUACCCUGCUGACUGCUGGGAGCUAUCUAGGAGAUUUAAGACCUUGGUCCAACCCUCUUAUUCAAGUCUAGGCAUUGGAAGGUGGAGCUCUUUUCCCAUCUCAAAUAACAGAGAACAGAAAGUAUACAGAAAAUAGCCAACUCUAGGCAAAAAUCAAUCUCAUCCAUUACCAAUAUGGCAGGCACCAAAGGAAGGAAAGUGAGG
rnacentral:lncRNA from 1 species